AGUAAAGGAAUAAAAAACGGCGAUCAAAUAGUUAAAAAAGUUUGUUAAACUACAAGAUUUUUCAGUGAAUAUGGCCAGGCAGCGAGUUAGAUGUAUCUGGUCCGAUGACCGUUACCAUAGAACCGUAUAGCGUGCUACAAGUAUUAUACAGAUAUAUAACUCUCAUGUAAACCUGUUCAUAAAGUGGGUUACGUGACAUCAGAAUCUAUAUGCUUCGACAGAACAUCACCUUUAUCGAAAAAAAGAAGAAAAAAAUAAAUUAAUAAUAAUGAAACUAAAGUAAUUAAAAAUUAAAUAAACCAUAAUGUUAUUUUUUACUGAUUGAUGUAAUUAAAUCCUGUCUGAAGAUUAAAGUGUUGAUGAAUAUCUUCCUCACGUAUCAGGAAGUAAAUUUUAAUUUUUAAUGCAGUAGUUUAAAUAGUUACAGGUUAGCUACUGACUGAGGGUUAUUGAUCUUAUAAAUGAAAUAAAAUAAAGCAGAUUUAACGUGAGAAGCCGUGCGAAUGUCACGGUAAAACCAUAUCCUAGUCGUCCGGGGUCAGUGUCAGCCCUCGCCUUUUUCCUGUCCAUGUCUGCGUGUUAUUAAUUCUGUUUUGUUUCAGUACAGUUCUAUUCGGGAUCGAGAAAUUCUCUAAACCAGACUAUACUAGAGACUAGAGAGUGCAAGCAGACUAUGUCAAUCCUUGUUGAGCGGAGACUUUAACGGUUGAUCGAACCGUUCAUGAUUAUCUUAUUUUUUAUUAUUUUAGUUAUCGAUAAAUAAUGAGAAGAAAUUCAAUUAGUAGAAUAUAAUUAUUUGUCAUUAAACGAGUGAAAGUAAUGUGUAUAAUUUAUCUAUUAAUUAAGUAAAAGCAGGUGGCUUUUUGCCAAUAGAAAAUUCAAUUAUUUAUUUCUUCAUUUUUAACUCCUGUUUUUAUUGACAACAUUACCGGAUUGGUGUAUUUAUCAACAAAGGUAUAAAAUAAUUAUAUUUUAUUCGGUAAUUACUGAGCGGUGAAGGAGUUUCUGUUCACUCACCGAGUACUUUGAUCUUUGCAACCGGUAAAAUGUAAUUUAUGAUUUAUUAUUAUAUUAUUAAAAACAUAGUUAAUAAACAUCUUGCCGGCAUUGACAUGGAUAUGCAUCAAAAAGAACUUUUCUUUAAGGUUAUAAGUUAUAAUAAUUUACAAAUAAUUGUUCAGGAUUAAUAUUUUAUUUAACGCUAGAAAUUAUUUGACAAUAUGCAAUUGACUUGUCAUUUACCGGGUAGAAAAUAUUAUUUGAACAAUAACAGGUGUGGCUAACACCAAGUCCAAUGUGUUGUUGAAUUACUUCAAGAGACAAGUGAGAGCAGAGAAGCAGGUGUCAAAUAAAAGUAUGCGGGAUAUAUAAAUUUAAAAUGUCGACAGUACAAAUAAUGAGUUUAGUUAAAUCAGACUUAACUCAUGACACACUAUUAAAUUAACUACCGAUAAAUAGAGAAUGAUAUUAAGUACAAAUUUAAUGAGAUUGAGGAAGAAACUAUGCAGACUGAGAAAGAGAGAUAGAGAAAUUAAAGUAACAAGUAAUGAGCCGUAAUUGGAUUACUGGAAAAAUGUUUAGUCGGAGAGAAGCGUGUCGGAAAAAGAGGAAAUGGGUGGAGAAAAGAAAAGAAUAUACGCAUAUAUAUAUAAAGAGGAAACGAGAGGUUUAAUACGUCGAGGUGGCUUCCAGCGAAGCCUGCAACCUGCUUGCCCCUUUAUGUAUAUAUUACACGGGACGUUGAAGGACUGGUGAACUACGAGACCAAAUAGGCUGAAGAACAAGCACAAUGUUGUAAAUGAAAUUUAGUUAUAUUUAAUCGCGAGAAUUACAAUUAUGAUGAACGUUAACUCACUGAAACAAAUAACAACUCGCGCUGAUGUUUACUCGAUCUCACUCUGCAAAAUAUCAUUCCGAGCUCCUCUCUGGACUUUGACGACGUGGAGGAUGAGUAAAGAGAGAAGUAGCGAGCAACAGUAAGUAGAGGAGGAGAAGAGAAACCGCGACGUUGAGAUUACCUCGGGAGAGGCUGCGUUGACGGUCUUUUUACACUGGUACACUGGUACCGUGUAUAGUAGACUGAGACAACGGGACACAGGGCUAAAAAUUAAAGGUUUUAGUCAAGUACUACUAUACAGAACACUGGGCACUGCUCACUGGACACUGGUAUUCGUUCAGUCGUUAGACACACAGCAGCGGCAGCAGGCCACGGUGACCGGCACAUUAACACGUCCGCUCGGUGAGUUUCGACGAGACUCGGGCCCCGGUUUGCCAGGUGGAAGAGGUAGAAACCCCCCUUGUACCUCCCCGUACCGCUUAUCGCUACCUGAGUGCCUGUGCCAGCGACUGUCUGUGUAGAAGUGUGCUGGCUGUAAGCAGUAUGGAUACGUAUACCAAGUUUCAUUUACUAUUCAGCUUGCUCAAAGUAGAAAGAGAUAAAAGAAAACAUAAACCAAGACUCCAUGACCAAGCCGCCGCCCCAGCACUACUCGACGGUUCUUUUUUCAUUUCAUUUCGUUUAUUAUUAUUCUCUUAUACUUAUUAAUCUUACUGAACAUACUUCAUUGCAUAUCUUAUCACAUCGAGCGUUUCUUUAGAGUUUCAAUCCAAACGUCUAUUAAAAUAUUAUAUACAGUUUUUUAAAUUAUACAAUUUAUAUUUUUU